rnacentral:rRNA from 1 species
AGCGAACGCUGGCGGAAUGCUUAACACAUGCAAGUCGCACGCCCUGCGAGGGGAGUGGCGGACGGGUGAGUAACGCGUAGGAAUAUGUCCAGAGGUGGGGGACAACCCUGGGAAACUGGGGCUAAUACCGCAUAUGGGCUGAGGCCCAAAGCAGUGAUGCGCCUUUGGAGUAGCCUGCGUCCGAUUAGCUUGUUGGUGGGGUAAAGGCUUACCAAGGCGACGAUCGGUAGCUGGUCUGAGAGGACGACCAGCCACACUGGGACUGAGACACGGCACAGACUCCUACGGGAGGCAGCAGUGGGGAAUAUUGGACAAUGGGCGCAAGCCUGAUCCAGCAAUUCCGCGUGGGUGAAGAAGGUCUUCGGAUUGUAAAGCCCUUUCGACGGGGACGAUGAUGACGGUACCCGUAGAAGAAGCCCCGGCUAACUUCGUGCCAGCCGCCGCAGUAA